UACGAAGGGGGCUAGCGUUGCUCGGAAUCACUGGGCGUAAAGGGUGCGUAGGCGGGUCUUUAAGUCAAGGGUGAAAUCCUGGAGCUCAACUCCAGAACUGCCUUUGAUACUGAGGAUCUUGAGUUCGGGAGAGGUGAGUGGAACUGUGAGUGUAGAGGUGAAAUUCGUAGAUAUUCGCAAGAACACCAGUGGCGAGGGCGGCUCACUGGCCCGAUACUGACGCUGAGGCACGAAAGCGUGGGGAGCAAACAGG
rnacentral:rRNA from 1 species